CCUACGGGUGGCAGCAGUGGGGGAUAUUGCACAAUGGGGGGAACCCUGAUGCAGCGACGCCGCGUGGGUGCAGGAGCGUUUCGGCGCGUAAAGCCCUAUCGGCAGGGAAGAAGAUGACGGUUCCUGACCAAGAAGCCCCGGCUAACUACGUGCCAGCAGCCGCGGGAAUACGUGGGGGGCAAGCGUUAACCGGAUUUACGGGGUGGAAAGGGGGCGUAGAUGGCAAUGCAAGCCAGGAGUGAAAGCCCGGGGACCAACCCCUGGACUGCUCUGGGAACUGCAUGGCUGGAGUACAGGAGGGGCAGGCGGAAUUCCUAGUGUAGCGGUGAAAUGCGUAGAUAUUAGGAGGAACACCAGUGGCGAAGGCGGCCUGCUGGACUGUGACUGACGUUGAGGCCCGAAGGCGUGGGGAGCAAACAGGAUUAGAUACCCUAGUAGUC
rnacentral:rRNA from 1 species